UGAGGAAUAUUGGACAAUGGGCGCAAGCCUGAUCCAGCCAUGCCGCGUGCAGGAUGACGGUCCUAUGGAUUGUAAACUGCUUUUGUACAGGAAGAAACAGUUCUACGUGUAGAACCUUGACGGUACUGUAAGAAUAAGGAUCGGCUAACUCCGUGCCAGCAGCCGCGGUAAUACGGAGGAUCCAAGCGUUAUCCGGAAUCAUUGGGUUUAAAGGGUCCGUAGGCGGUUAGAUAAGUCAGUGGUGAAAGCCCAUCGCUCAACGGUGGAACGGCCAUUGAUACUGUCUGACUUGAAUUAUUAGGAAGUAACUAGAAUAUGUAGUGUAGCGGUGAAAUGCUUAGAGAUUACAUGGAAUACCGAUUGCGAAGGCAGGUUACUACUAAUGGAUUGACGCUGAUGGACGAAAGCGUGGGUAGCGAACAGGAUUAGAUACCCCCGUAGUCCCUGAGCGGGCUGGCAAGGCGC
rnacentral:rRNA from 1 species